CCAAGAUGAAGGGUCUCAGCCUGAAAUUUUCCUUCCCCUCCAUUGAUGCUGCCUGACUUACUGAGUUCCUCCAGCAUUUCAUAUGGCUGAAAAAGAUAAACUGCGUCAUUUUAACAUUUAUCGCUGAGAGAUGGCUGAUAGCAAAACAGUGACAAAUGGAAAAGAAAAUCUGAGUAACCCACUCCCUGUGUUCCCUUCCCACUCCUGUCAUGUCUUUGUACUGUUUAUCAGUUUGACAUUCAGCACUAUUGUCCCACAGACUUUGCUGAACCAACUCCUACUCGUCGGUCCAAAUACACUGCUGUACGACUGAGUGUUGGAGCUCCUAACCACCAGAACUCACUAGUCAGCAUGUACAACCACUCCUCCCUCCCCAUCAUCCUCAACACUCUGCUCACACACGAACAUAUGGCCAAACACCCAAGUAAUCACAUUGUCUAGUUCGCCAAUGACACAACAGUCAUCACCAGCAAUGGUGAG